GAUGAAGAACGUAGCGAAAUGCGAUAAGUAAUGUGAAUUGCAGAAUUCAGUGAAUCAUCGAAUCUUUGAACGCACCUUGCACCCUUUGGCAUUCCGAAGGGUAUGCUCGUUUGAGUGUCAUUGUACUCUCACUCUCCCGAUGCUUUUGGAUCGGGAGUGGUGGACUUGGGUGUUGCUGCUUUGCUGUGGCUCGCCUCAAAUGGAGUAGUGCAACUCUUGGUUGGACAUAGUACGGCGUGAUAAGUGUCUUCGCCGGCGCCUCAUUAUAGAGGGUGGCCGAUCGGGAGCUCUGUGCUUCAAACCGUCUUCGGACAACAUCUGACAACUUGACCUCAAAUCGAGUAGGACUACCCGCUGAACUUAAGCAUAUCAAUAAGCGGAGGA
rnacentral:misc_RNA from 1 species